AUAAGACAUAGAGGUGUCUGGUUCUGAGAAAAGGAAGUUUUGCUAAGUGAGAGACACAACUGACUCAACUGACUCAGCUGGGAAUUGUGGUGUCCACCGUCCUCGACCUGCGACGGGGUCUCCAUGAGCACAGAGGCUGCUCUGGAGUCAAUAGAUCAUCUUUUCCCCAAACCAAACUGCUUGGCUGGCGUUGUUCCUGAAGCGGCUUCACUGGCCAGAGUGAGUGAGAAUUGGGGUAGAACGGAGCAGUCACCAGAUGUCUUGCUUCCUACAGAAAACUGAUUAUAUUCCUGGUCCCUGAACGAUCCUAUAGAGACAUCCAGUCCCUGACUCCACCUGCCUCCAGGUGCCCAGAACAGCCCAUCGUGGGGACUUCAC
rnacentral:lncRNA from 1 species